UAUUUUCUUCAUCUUGUUUUAAUAGGACCAAGGUCAUUAAAGUGGUGGGACGUGAAGAUACAGGACUGAAGUUUAACUUGAAGUUUCUAUUCACGGGUGAACGAAACCGAACAUGAAGGAGAAACGCUGUAAUAGGGUGUUGCAAUAUUGAAUAGCGAUCAAUUGGGCCAUUAACGAUAUUCAAAAAUAUAAGGCGUAAUGUUAUUGGUAAAGGAAAACAUGGCAUAGUUGGAAGAUGAAGUACAUUGAUCAUUUAAUUAUUAGUUUCCUUCAUCGUAGUUUGUUAGCGUUAGUUUAGGAAAGUGUCAAAAUGUGGAAAAGACAUGAAUUUUUACGCAAAGACAUUAUUAAUUUUCA